AAAUUACCCACUCCCAGCACGGGGAGGUAGUGACGAAAAAUAACGAUACGGGACUCAUCCGAGGCCCCGUAAUCGGAAUGAGUACACUCUAAAUCCUUGUUCAAGGAUCAAUUGGAGGGAAAGUCUGGUGCCAGCAGCCGCGGUAAUACCAGCUCCAAUAGCGUAUAUUAAAGUUGUUGCGGUUAAAAAGCUCGUAGUCGAACUUGUGUCCCGCGGCGUUGGUUCAUCGCUCGCGGUGUUCAACUGGCGUGUUCGCGGGACGUCCUGCCGGUGGGCUACGGGGUGCAAUCCUGCGCUUCCGCCCAGCUCGUGGUCGCUUGCGGCUGCGAAUCCCAUCGCGGUGCUCUUUAUUGAGUGUCGAGGUGGGCCGGCACAUUUACUUUGAACAAAUUAAAGUGCUUAAAGCAGGCCAAUUUUGCCUGAAUACUGUGUGCAUGGAAUAAUGGAAUAGGACCUCGGUUCUAUUUUGUUGGUUUUCGGAACCCCGAGGUAAUGAUUAAUAGGAACGGAUGGGGGCAUUCGUAUUGCGACGUUAGAGGUGAAAUUCUUGGAUCGUCGCAAGACGGACAUAAGCGAAAGCAUUUGCCAAAAACGUUUUCAUUGAUCAAGAACGAAAGUUAGAGGCUCGAAGGCGAUCAGAUACCGCCCUAGUUCUAACCAUAAACGAUGCCAGCUAGCGAUCCGCCGACGUUCCUCCGAUGACUCGGCGGGCAGCUUCCGGGAAACCAAAGCUUUUGGGUUCCGGGGGAAGUAUGGUUGCAAAGCUGAAACUUAAAGGAAUUGACGGAAGGGCACCACCAGAAGUGGAGCAUGCGGCUUAAUUUGACUCGACACGGGACAUCUAACCAGGCCCAGACACCGGAAGGAUUGACAGAUUGAGAGCUCUUUCUUGAUUCGGUGGGUGGUGGUGCAUGGCCGUUCUUUGUUGGUGUAGUGAUUUGUCUGGUUAAUU
rnacentral:rRNA from 1 species